AGGCAUAACAUCUAAACAUUAUUAACUUCAAAAAAUUAAAAAUCAAAACUUUCAACAACGGAUCUCUUGGUUCUCGCAUCGAUGAAGAACGCAGCGAAAUGCGAUACGUAAUAUGAAUUGCAGAUUUUCGUGAAUCAUCGAAUCUUUGAACGCACAUUGCGCCCUGUGGUAUUCCGCAGGGCAUGCCUGUUUGAGCGUCAUUUCUCUCUCAAGCUUCUAGCUUGGUGUUGAGUUUGCUCGGCUUACUUGAAAAGAAUGUUUGCAGUGUUUAGGUUGUACCAAAUCUCAUGCACCGUUUUAAGUUUGACCUCAAAUCAGGUAGGACUACCCGCUGAACUUAAGCAUAUCAAUAAGCGGAGGAA
rnacentral:rRNA from 1 species